rnacentral:lncRNA from 1 species
UUUUUUUUUGGCCUUCUUCUCUAAUUGGCUGUGAUUUGUACUCAUUGUAUUUAGUUCCCAUAUUGAAAGUCAAAAAAAAGGAUAAGGGCAUAAAAGAAAUAAGGAUAAAUAGGUAUUUCAGAUUUUAUGAACUAAUAAGGGCAUAAAGAGGAUAAGAAAAUUUAACACCACAAAAGUAAAAAUACUAAACGAUACUCAGAAUGUGUUUGGUUUGCAUUCCAAAAUCACAGUCAUAAAUCUUUCAUCAUUUUCCAACCUUGUUGCUCCAUUUAGAACCAAGUUGGAUUUCAUUCUAGUAAUUAUUUAAUCAAUUUGAAAUCCAAGUCAUUACAAAUAUUUUUGACACCUUUUUCCCAUUAACGGAUUUCCAUAAUAUAUAGUUUAUCAAAUAAUAGAUAUAAAUAGCCUCAAGAAAACAAUAGAUAGAGGUAUCAUUAACUUCAAUGCUAAUUCCUAACUCAUUUGCCAAAAACCCCUAAAGCUAACCAUUACAAGUAUGGAUCCGUUAGGAUUACAAGCAUGGCAACCAUCCGCCUGUCUAAUGACCCUAACCAGCGCUAUAAACAACGGUCUAAUGAACCUAAAUAAAAUAGUGCUGUAAACAACGGCCUUAUCAUUUCAUUACUACUAGUAAUACUGCAAGUGCUUUGCUCGUGGUUAUAUUUUCCCAAACUUUUAUGUAUUAUUUAUAAUGGAGUAUUUUGUGAAAUAUUAAUCAUUAAAACCAUAAAAAUUUUUCUUUCCAUCAAUCAUGCAUAGGGUGUACUUCAUCCCUAUAUAUAAAGAAAGAGUGGCAAAUUAUGAUGUAUUAUUAUUCAUGCUAACACAUAUGAAGUAAAAUCUGUUGAGUUAUAAUUUUCGGAUUCAACCUUCAAGAAUGUAGCAAAAAAUUAAUUAACUUUGGCAAGAGAUUGCACAUCUUGAGUGCCAAAUACAAAACAAGAUCUGUGGAGUUAUAAUUUAUAAAUCUAACCUUCAUAAACGGUAUCAAACAUGAUAGAGUUCUGGCUAUGUAGAGAAGUUUAUCUUGAGCUUCUCCUUUACAAACCAUUAAUACAAAUUAUGGCAGUACUAUGUUGGUUCCUUUUUAUAAUUUCGCCAUAUAAAGGCAGUAGUAAUAACGUGUGCAUGAUGAUGAAACCAAAUAAACAGAUAAGACCGGGACUACGAAACCAUAUUGUCAUUUGGGUACAUUGGUGCGUUGUAUCCUUAAGGUACAUUGAACUAUAAACGGAUAUGAGUAGGUGUGUGAUAUAUUGCUACAUUGUAAAUUUCUAAUAAUAGAAAUUUUUUUUUAGUAUGUAUCCUUAAGGCACACGAUAAGCCUACAAAAUACAAACGAUGGACCAAUUUCAAAUUUUAAAUAUCAUUAUCAACCCCCAAAAUCUAGGAAACUUUAGCAAUAAAUUUUAAACUUUUCCUUAACUAAUACCUGAUCCACCCCUUAAUUAUCAUGUGUUUUAAGGGUACAAAGAAUCCUCGUAGAAAUAAUAAUAUAUGGUAUCUUAGAACGAGGGAAUGCAAAUAAUAAGCACUUAGAUAAAUUUAGAGAUAAUUACGGUCAGCAAAUUUGUAUCAUAACCAUUCAUUACACUAUUCUUCCCAUACUUUAUCUUUCAUUAAAGUUUCUAACUAUGUUUUUGGCCCAUUAUUUCUGAAUGCAUUUUGAUCUAACAAUUUAUUUUUCUGAAUGACUUCUUAAAGAUCUUAAUUUACCAAAAUUAAUAUUGUGGAUAUCUCUUAUGUUCUAAAUUAAACACGAGUUCAGCACAACCAAAAUUUACACACAAAAUAGUUUAGAUGUUUGAGAAUUAAGAGUAUUUUUCAUGCUAACCUUUCUUCUUCUUUUCCUCCUCUAUUAGAGAUGUCCUUUGAAGUGUGUGCUGGAUGGACCUGAUUGAAUCACCUUAAAAAAACAAAAAUCCAGGCACAAGCAACUUAGCCUCCUUUACACUCAAAGAACUCAAAUGUUCUUUUUGGUAUUGUUUGAAUUUUCUUUAUUAGCUUUAUAUUUAAUUGUUUGUUCACUUUAUGCCAUUUAAUUAUUGAUUUUCAAUUCUAUGGAGCUUUCCUUUUUUUUGUGGAAAGUUUUGUAGUUUCUUUUGGGCAUUCCACUAAUCUGUGUUUUUAAACUCGGACCGGAUCGGACGAUCCGACCGGUCGAACCGAGAAGUGUUUGGUCCAAGUUGUUCUUCAAAAUCGAAAGACUGAAAACCCGGACAAAAAUCGGGUUUGACCGGAAAAAAACCGGUUCAACCAGAGCAUUUUUUAAAAAAAGGUUAAACUUUUUCAAUAUUAUGUUUUGACCCCUAAAUUUUUAAAACUUAUUAAUAUACCUCAAAUAUUUCAUACUUUAUAAAUGUUGUCCUAAAAUUUGAUGUUAUUUUUCAAUCAAAUCCAUAAUUUUAAUUCUAAACUUAUUAAUGUUCAUUAAAUAAUAUAAAUUGCUACUUGACUGUUCUAAUUUCUUUGUAUUUUCUUGUUAAAUAUAUUUGAAACAUCAAAUAUAUAUGAAUGUACCUUUAUUAAUAUUAACAUACUUUUAGGUAUUUUAUAUACAAUAUUUUAAUUUUAAAUAAUUUUUAUUUAUGACAUCAUCCGGUUCAACCCCGAUCGAAGCCGGUCGAACCCAUUGACCCCUGACCCCUGAGUUUGGCCGAGUCGAUAUCCGGUCCGAGUCUGAAAACAUAGCCACUAAUGAGAUUAAAUUUGCCAUUGGAUAUAGAAUAAGAAUUAUCAACCCUUAAAUUACUUCAAGAGUCUAAAUCACUGAAUGAUGCGACAAGAUAUAAAAGGAUUUGAAUAAUGGGUACUGUAUCCAAGAGGAACUGUAAUAUUUUCCUUUUUUUAGCUUAUUUGCUUGUUCUUCAUAAUGAAUUUUAAUUAUUGCAUUGUGUUAUUUCAUUUAUGCAUAACUUUUUAUUAUAACAAUUAAUAACAUGAUUGAUAUUCAUUCCCUCAUCAUUAUUGAAAUGCAUUAUAAUUAUUCUAUAGAGGGUAGUUUAGGUAUUACAAAAAGUAAGACAAAAUCUGUUUACACUACCUAUACUUCUAGACCCAUGAUACUUUUACAGGGAGUAUAGACAGAGUCGUGGCUUUCUUUUGCUCUUGAAUUGAUUACGUAAAUGACCAAUAGGGGUUGGUUCGAGUGGUAAGCAGUUUGGAUUAGCUUAAGCAUGUUUCGUGUUCGAGUCCUAGUGUACGCAGACACCCCUGUUGAAAGACUCACCCAUCAUAGCCAGGUGUGCGACGCAGGUCGGGUCCGGAUUAGUCGGGGCAAAGUUCGGAUACCGGGCGGUCAAUCAAAAAAAAGAAUUGAUUACGUAAAUGUGCAUAGCUUGUCCCACAUGUUUUUUUUUUCCCCAAAUAUCCUUGAAUAGCCAAACGAAAUCUUGUACCGUUCCACUCCUUUCAAAUUGGUUAAUCAAUUGGAUUAACAUUUUUUUUGGCCGGAAAAAAAUUUCUAUAGAUCGUGCAUUUUAUCAUUGAACUAGUGCAAAGUGGAUUAACCAAUUUCCCAUAGGUCGAGCAUAGCACUACUACUUGAUCUAUAAGACAUUCAAAAUUUAUCUUCCUCUCUCAGAAUCCUUCUUCGUCGAGGACAUGUAGCGCAUUAGUUGAACGCAGAUUCCUUAGAAUGCAUGGGAACUUAUUCGUUUACGAAAUGGGCAAUCGAGAGAGAGAGAGAGAGAGAGGCAGGAUUAUAAUUUCUCGAAGGGCCAAGAUCGACCAAAGGGUCGUAUGGCAUUUUAUGCAUUGAUCAGAAUCUCUUCAAUAUUCGUUGCUUGGUUAUAAAUAGAGUUUGGGAAUGAUCAGUUUUUGCAAUGCAAUGCAAUGGGUUGAUAGGAAGGUAAGAGGAAGAGAGGCCUUACAUGAAGGUAAAGGUCCUCAUUUGGUAGCCAAGGAUGACUUGCCUGCUCCACCUCAGGGGGUUUCUCUAAGUCCACAAGUAAACCCUUUGUCGUGGUCGCCAGGAAGUCUCCUUGGCUAGCCUGAGAGGCUCUUUUCUCUCAUGCUAGGUCUUCUUUUCCCCUGCAGCCUCUGCCACCUCCCAGUCCUUUAUGAUUUUCUUUUAUCUCUUGCAAUUAUUCAAUUUUCCAUUAACUCCUUCAUCGUCGUGCUUUGCAGUUUGAGUACUUGCGAUGAUUGACAAAGCAUUGCAGUUUGAGUAUUAACUUUUGUUUAUCAGAAGCGUUGAAAAAUUUUCAUCAUAACACCGAUAUUUUGCAUUUCGGUACGUAAAAGUAUGUCUUGCAUUGUUUUAGCAUCAGCCAUCGUCUACUCCUCGGAUAAAUGUCAGUAAGAUGGAUCGUCUGUUUCAACAUUCGACCAGGUUUUACAAUAUUCGAUCCGACAAAUUUUUGUUUUUUGGGGGGUGGGAGGGGGAGUAAUUUUUGUUGGAGAAAACCUUACAAGCGCACAAAUUUUAGUGCCCCUAUUCCCUGUUCCCUAGCAUUUAAUUUGUAAGCCAUGUUUACUAAUCCUUCCUUUCUGUCUGUCUUCUUUUAUUUACAGAUCAAUUGUUUUUUUUAAAAAAAAAAAAAAAAAUCUUUAUCAAGAAAACAAAGGUGAAGUUCUUUGAAGUAUUCGGAGCAGGACUCCAAACGUAGUAAGGUGCCUAAGAUUCUCAUGUAAUGGCAAAAUCCAAUUAGGUCACGAAUGAAAUUUAAUGCAGGAACGAGGAACGAAACAAAAACCGUUCAUGGGACGUGUCAUACAGCAGCACUAAAAGUCUUCAAACAGCUCUCCGUGCCUUGAAUACCCAACAUUUUAGCAGCACACUUGGACGAUUGUGGGCAGAUGGCAUAUUUCAGCAACACAACUACUUACAAAUCCAGAAUAUAUUAUCAUGGAGCAAAAUAUCAAUAAUAUAUUUCUGUAUGGGUGUGAUCCAAUGCCCACCAAGCCACCAUGUGUACAUUUGCCUCCCAAGGGCCGGGCCCCAAAGAUUUAUGGAUAUACACUGUUUACAUCCAAGCCACGAUUGAGGCAUUUAUGUCCGGAUCCCUUUAUUUAAUCCAUCCAUUGAACCAAAAAUAUCCUGCCAAGGAGGGGAGCCUUCAUGAAGCUUUCGUGGGAGCAUUAUGAUGACGAUGCGGAAUUUUUUUUGUCUCUUAAAGUUCUCAUACGCGGUGAAGUGUCACCUUACCUAGCUUAUCACUCAUAAGAAGAUCUUUGAUUAAAAAGAGCGUUUUCAAUUGACCAACCUUAUCUACUGCCGACAGAGGACACUUGUCACUGUCAUGCACAGCCACGUAACAUCUUGCAAACUGACGCGGUGUCGGUACUGCAUGAAUUCGGCUUACACCUGGAACGCUGUUUGUGGCUCUUCCUCUGCAUGCACCGGCAAAUCCUCAUAACUUUACUGAUCUUUUUGGUUGUUCCCUUUCUUCUUCAGCUUGCCUAUAUAAAAACAGGGUUCCGCUGCAACUAUUUCUCGUCAAAUCCACCCAUUUGUGUGAAGAAGUCUUAUCAGUCAGUCUCUGAUCUUUCACCUUUCAUUGAUUUGUGUUCUAUAUUCUACUUCCGCUAGUAGUUGAAAUUUGGCAAUUAAGAUGGCACAAUACGGGGCUGAAUAUGGCAACCAAAAGAGCCAGUACGAUGAGUACGGAAACCCAGUUCGUCAGACAGACGAAUAUGGUAACCCAGCCCGCCAUGGAGGUACCAUGGGUGAUUAUGGAACCACUGGCACUACUGGAGCCUAUGGUGGCACAGCUGGAGCACAUGGGACUUAUGCAACUGGAACCACCGGCACUACCGGUACCGGUGCGUAUGCCACCCAGCCUGGCACUGAUGUGGGGAAGGAGCACCAUGGCCUUGGUGGCAUGCUUCAUCGCUCUGGUAGCGGUAGCUCUAGCUCGGUAUGCCCUCCUAAUUAAUCUCGUCUUGCUUAAAUUGUACUGAGUUGUAGUAGCAUUUAACAAAUCUUGACCAGCUUGUGAUGACUGGUAAUUAAAAAGUUCUUAUCUGUUUUCUUUUUGUUUUUUCGGUUGGGAUGCAGUCCGAGGAUGAUGGGCAAGGCGGGAGGAGGAAGAAGGGGAUGAAGGAGAAGAUAAAGGAGAAACUGCCUGGCGGUCACAAGGAGGCUCGACCUGGACAAGAAUAUUCGAGUGCUACUACAGCUCCUGGAUACGGCGGGGAAGGAGAGCAGCACGAGAAGAAAGGAAUUAUGGAUAAAAUCAAGGAGAAAUUACCAGGGGGUCACAACAACUGAAGAUCUAAUUCUAAUAAUAUGGGAUCCAAUUAUGAUAUUGUGUACCCCUAUUUUCAAUCUCAAUCUCAAUCUCGUUCGUGUCAUGUUUGUGUUUUCUGAGAUUUGAGUGUGUGGACGU